UCUUAUCUGUUUCAAAAAGGGGACAGGUAGUCAACAGUGAAGUCAUCCAAUUACCAGAUGGUCAGACAUUAAAAUCAUUAAAAGAAGGAGAGAGUUAGAAACAUCUAGGAGUAUUAGUAUCUGACAGAGUACGAACUAUAGAAAUUGAAACGAAAA